rnacentral:rRNA from 1 species
AUUGAACGCUAGCGGGAUGCCUUACACAUGCAAGUCGAACGGAGUGGCGAACGGGUGAGUAAUGUAUCGGAACGUGCCCAGUAGCGGGGGAUAACUACGCGAAAGCGUAGCUAAUACCGCAUACUAUUGGAGCGGCAGAUAUCGGAUUAGCGGGUUGGUGGGGUAACGGGUUACCAGGGCGACGAGCCGUAGCUGGUUUGAGAGGACGACCAGCCAAACUGUGACUGAGACACGGCACAGACUCCUACGGGAGGCAGCAGUGGGGAAUUUUGGACAAUGGGGGAAACCCUGAUCCAGCCAUGCCGCGUGUGCGAUGAAGGCCUUCGGGUUGUAAAGCACUUUUGGCAGGAAGGCGGUACCUGCAGAAUAAGCACCGGCUAACUACGUGCCAGCAGCCGCGGUAAUAC